UACGAAGGGGGCUAGCGUUGCUCGGAAUCACUGGGCGUAAAGCGCACGUAGGCGGAUUGCUAAGUCAGGGGUGAAAUCCUGGAGCUCAACUCCAGAACUGCCCUUGAUACUGGCGGUCUCGAGUCCGGGAGAGGUGAGUGGAACUGCGAGUGUAGAGGUGAAAUUCGUAGAUAUUCGCAAGAACACCAGUGGCGAAGGCGGCUCACUGGCCCGGUACUGACGCUGAGGCACGAAAGCGUGGGGAGCAAACAGGG
rnacentral:rRNA from 1 species